rnacentral:rRNA from 1 species
UACGGAGGGUGCAAGCGUUACUCGGAAUCACUGGGCGUAAAGAGCGCGUAGGCGGGAUAGCAAGUCAGAUGUGAAAUCCAGGGGCUCAACCCCUGAACUGCAUUUGAAACUGUCGUUCUUGAGUACUGGAGAGGUUGACGGAAUUCCUAGUGUAGCGGUGAAAUGCGUAGAUAUUAGGAAGAACACCAGUGGCGAAGGCGGGUUCCUGGACAUUAACUGACGCUGAGGCACGAAGGCCAGGGGAGCGAAAGGG